rnacentral:rRNA from 1 species
GAUGAACGCUGGCGGCGUGCCUAAUACAUGCAAGUCGAGCGAACGGACGAGAAGCUUGCUUCUCUGAUGUUAGCGGCGGACGGGUGAGUAACACGUGGAUAACCUACCUAUAAGACUGGGAUAACUUCGGGGAACCGGAGCUAAUACCGGAUAAUAUUUUGAACCGCAUGGUUCAAAAGUGAAAGACGGUCUUGCUGUCACUUAUAGAUGGAUCCGCGCUGCAUUAGCUAGUUGGUAAGGUAACGGCUUACCAAGGCAACGAUGCAUAGCCGACCUGAGAGGGUGAUCAGCCACACUGGAACUGAGACACGGUCCAGACUCCUACGGGAGGCAGCAGUAGGGAAUCUUCCGCAAUGGGCGAAAGCCUGACGGAGCAACGCCGCGUGAGUGAUGAAGGUCUUCGGAUCGUAAAACUCUGUUAUUAGGGAAGAACAUAUGUGUAAGUAACUGUGCACAUCUUGACGGUACCUAAUCAGAAAGCCACGGCUAACUACGUG